rnacentral:lncRNA from 1 species
AUGCAUCUCUGGAACCAUAAAUGAUGUUAAAAUAGGCAUUUAUAAAAUGACAAGGAGAAUUUCAUGAUAAAUUUGUUUGUUUUCUUACAAUCAUUGGCAUUGCAGCCAUUAGUAAGUCACAAGGAAAACUUCUCUAGCUAAAACGCAAAAUGAAAUAUCAAGUUUUGAAAUGUAUUAGGUCUGUUGCCUGCGUUUUGCUGAUCUCAUUUUUUCAAAGCGCGACUCCAUUUCUUCUAAGACUUUGGGUGUGUAUCGUACCACUAAUUUAACCUUUCCUUGUGCGGCUUUCAGCAGUUCUACAGCUUUUUCAUGAUGUUCUCCUUCAACACUCACUCCAUUAACAGAGAGGAGUUGAUCUCCACGUUUGAGGCCCCCAUGUCUAUCAGCAAUUCCACCUGGAAUUAUUCGGGAUAUAUAGAUUGGAGAGUUUUGUUCUUUGCCUCCCAUAAUAUUGAAUCCAAGGCCCUCUUCUGUUUUUGGUAGCUCAACAACUCGAGGAUGAGAAUGUCCUUCACUGGCAGCAAAUGCAGCAACAGUAGCCUUUGCAGUAGCGUUCGCUCUCACUUCAGGACUGCUACUGAUGUCCACAGUCUCAUAGACAUGUUCAUAUACCUCUCUCACAGCAUUGCAGAAUUCACUUUGAAGGACUCUUUGCAAAGCCUGAAGUUUCUGUGGUGGUACUUCUCCACUCCUUUGUAGUUUUUCCAAUAAUUCAAUUGCUCUACAAAU